UUUAUUUAACAAAAUAAGCAAACUCUAUGUUACAAUGAUUGCACAGCCAUUAAGGAUCAAAUCAGUUUCUGAAAUAUGUUCUGUUUUUUCUCCCUCUGCUUGCUUCUUACUGUCUUUGAGGCUCGGGACCAGCACUCCUGUUGUUGGACAGAAAGACAUCAACUCAGUGACUUGAGAUAUGACUGCACUUUGCUGUUGCUGUGACUCCAGUUAAUUCUACAAGACAUGAUGUGACACCAGGAGAGAUGAGUCCUCCGUCACAGAUGGUGUGGUCAGUGAAGAUGGUCGCCUGCAGGUUCAAGCUCAUUGCAUCUCCAACCCACAUCCACUGCCACUGUACUUAAGGGAAGUUAAAGACUUUCUUCUGCACUUACUUUUGGAUCACCUCGA